rnacentral:rRNA from 1 species
GAUGAACGCUGGCGGCGUGCCUAAUACAUGCAAGUCGAGCGAACAGAUGAGGAGCUUGCUCCUCUGACGUUAGCGGCGGACGGGUGAGUAACACGUGGAUAACCUACCUAUAAGACUGGGAUAACUUCGGGGAACCGGAGCUAAUACCGGAUAAUAUAUUGAACCGCAUGGUUCAAUAGUGAAAGACGGUUUUGCUGUCACUUAUAGAUGGAUCCGCGCCGCAUUAGCUAGUUGGUAAGGUAACGGCUUACCAAGGCAACGAUGCGUAGCCGACCUGAGAGGGUGAUCGGCCACACUGGAACUGAGACACGGUCCAGACUCCUACGGGAGGCAGCAGUAGGGAAUCUUCCGCAAUGGGCGAAAGCCUGACGGAGCAACGCCGCGUGAGUGAUGAAGGUCUUCGGAUCGUAAAACUCCGUUAUUAGGGAAGAACAAAUGUGUAAGUAACUAUGCACGUCUUGACGGUACCUAAUCAGAAAGCCACGGCUAACUACGUG